AUAGAUACUAGAACACACCCGUGAUAUCGCGGGUCUGUGACUGAAUUAAAGAAUAUAACUAUGCGUAAGCCUUAUUUUAGUAUUGGUAUUGUCAUCUGAUAAAGUCAUGCCGAUUAUAAGAUGCACAGUUUUCUCUGCUUUCAACAUCUUUCUGUUUGAACCCGUCGACCUGGAACUUAUCAAUUAUUGGUACUAUUAUUUAUUUGGAAAACAAAAUGGCCUGGAAAGGAGUAUUUUUUAAUCAACAGCAUUGUCCUUUAUGAGUUAUAAAUAAAGUUGAAUUCUUUGAUUCGCUGUUUGACGCCAUUCCGGCUAACAAAUUGAAAACUGUACAUGCUGUACCUAUACGCCUUAUUUUAAGUCCAGAUUUUUAUUAUUCGUAUUGUCAUCUUAGAAAGUCAUACUGAUUAAAAUACUACAAUCGGGAACAAUGUGACAAUGAUUAAAUUUAGUUGUGUCAACCCUGUGAUUACGACCCGUGUAUAUAGCAAAAUCUUAAAUACAGCGUUUGGUGGUGCGCCUGUCAGAUGCGGAACGUACAGAUAAGUUAAUAGGUAACAGGUGAAUAUACUAUUGGUAUCGGUAUCGGAUUCGACCCGGAACUUCUUAAUUAUUGGCAAUAUUAAUUAUGUGGAAAACAAAAGGGUCUGGAGUGGUGUAAUUUUUAAUCAACAGCAUUGUACUAUAUUAGUUAUAUAUAAAGUUAAAUUCUUUGAUUCAUCGUUUUUACGUGAUGACGGCUGACAAAUUGGACCUCGUAAUUUUAGUAUUAUAGAUAU
rnacentral:lncRNA from 1 species